AAGAGACAGCAGCAGCCGCGGGAAUACGUAGGGUGCAAGCGUUAAUCGGAAUUACUGGGCGUAAAGCGUGCGCAGGCGGUUAUAUAAGACAGAUGUGAAAUCCCCGGGCUCAACCUGGGAACUGCAUUUGUGACUGUAUAGCUAGAGUACGGCAGAGGGGGAUGGAAUUCCGCGUGUAGCAGUGAAAUGCGUAGAUAUGCGGAGGAACACCGAUGGCGAAGGCAAUCCCCUGGGCCUGUACUGACGCUCAUGCACGAAAGCGUGGGGAGCAAACAGGAUUAGAUACCCGGGUAGUCCCUGUCUCUUAUAC
rnacentral:rRNA from 1 species